UACGUAGGGUGCGAGCGUUGUCCGGAAUUAUUUGGGCGUAAAGAGCUUGUAGGCGGUUUGUCGCGUCUGCCGUGAAAUUUCGAGGCUCAACCUCGAACUUGCGGUGGGUACGGGCAGACUAGAGUGUGGUAGGGGAGACUGGAAUUCCUGGUGUAGCGGUGAAAUGCGCAGAUAUCAGGAGGAACACCGAUGGCGAAGGCAGGUCUCUGGGCAUUAACUGACGCUGAGGAGCGAAAGCAUGGGGAGCGAACAGG
rnacentral:rRNA from 1 species